AUAUAAUUAAAUGGAAAAAAAGUGAUAAACUGAACAAUAUACAAUUUCAUUAAGGAGUAGAUAUGUUCUGUUGAAGUACGAGAAGCAACUCCAAGGGAAUUACAAGUCUCUGCAGCCUAUCCAUUUAUCUUCAGGUGUUGGAACUUGGACGUAUGCUUCUGCUUUUGUUUUAUUUGUCUGUAAAGUAUUACAUUUACUGUUUAGCCUAUUUUUGAUAAUACCCACAAGCCUUAAAAUAAUGUAGAAGAAGUGGCUUCAAAAUUACUGUGAUAAGCUAAGCAAGUAAUGAAUAAUCUUCACAAAGUAAAUAUUGAAUGAGUUAGUGAUCAGACUGAUCUUUCAUUCUGUGUGGUAUCUGUUUUAAACCGGCUGUCCAGAAGUAGUUGAGUAAAUUGCAGGCCUAGUUAUCAUGUUAAAAAUCUGUACUGCCUAUUUAUUUUUCCUCAAAACCUUGCACUAAUUUCCCGUAAAUGGCUUCUAAAUUAGUGUGAUAAAGCUAGUUAUGAAUAUUUUUCACAAAGUAAAUAUUACAAUAGCUAUCGAUCAGACUGAUCUUUCAUAACCUGUGGUAUCUGUUUUACACCCGCUGUCCAGGAGUAAAUGUGUACACUGCAGGUCUAUUUUUCAUAUUACCAGUCUCUGCCUCCUAUCCAUUUAACUUCAGGUGUUAGAGCCUGGGUGUAUGCUUCUCCUUUUGUUUUCUGUAUUUAAAAAAAGCAUGAAGGCCUCGAUUAUUUAUAAUUUAAACAAAUAAUUGGUUCAAUUUAAGCAGCGAUCGUUAAUUUUUCAUGGUCAGCCUUAAACUGAUAUAAAUGGCUUCAAAAUAAGUGUAAUAAGCAAAGCAAGUAAUGAAUGUUUUUCACAAAGUAAAUAUUAAAUGAGCUAGUGUCAGUAAUAAUAUUUCAUUCUUCUUGGUAUCUGUUUUACAUCUGCUGUCCAGGAGUAGUUGAUUAAUUUGCUUUUGUCUUUUAUCAGCAGCAAUAAUUAAAUGUUUUAUGCUCCUAACUUUAAAAAAAAUAUAACUGACCUCAUAACUAAGUUAAAAAAGAUUCAAUAGUGCAUAAAAAAAAUUGUCACAAAAUUGUACACUACAAUUUUAUGAGACUUUCCUUAAGUCAAAAUUUGAUUAUAAUUUGUUUGAACCUUUUAAGCUGAUUGGACAUUCUUGUAAUUUUCAAAUUAAUGAGAAAAUCCAAGCUUCCAUGACUUCAUCCUCUAUUAAUUGACUGAUAAGAGUGCUUGUUCUUUAAGUUAUCAUAAUUAUGGUUCUUCUAAACUUUUUUACACACACUAUGCUCCACAUCUAACUCAUUAAUUUUUUCUUUAAUGUCAUUACCAAACAGCAUAUCAGUCACUGAUGUUGUAUUGUCAUAUAGAGCUUUAUACUAUGGUUGAAUGUCCCCCUUAAUGAAACUCCUUUGUCUAGAUGUUAUAUCACUGUAACUGACUUGAAAAUAACUGAUAAAGUAUCACUACAUGUAACUGCAUAUGUCUGAAGUUCCUCUUUAGUCAUUCCUUCCUGCUUAGAUUAUUUGUCAACAAACAUAUCUAUCAUGUUCAUUAACGGACAUGCUGCUUUAGACAGUAGAUUUUCAAAACAGGCUGUACGAGUCUUGGUGAAGAAUUUAAAAAAAAAUCAAAAUUUAAGAUAAAAAAAAUAAAUCAAGUGUAACAUUCACAUAAAGUUUUUAACAUAUUUUAUAGAGAGGCAUAUUUUAACUGACUAUUAGUGCAUAAUCAUAUAAAGCUACAA
rnacentral:lncRNA from 1 species